rnacentral:lncRNA from 1 species
CACCGCGUCAACUCUUGGCAGCUGUCAGAGCACCCCUCCCCCUCUUCCAGGCAACUUCUUCCAACAGCCCCCUCUGAUGGACCCCAACUCUCCUCUCUCACGCCUCGCCCAUACAGCGAGGCACAAAGAAAUCUCAGUCUCUCCAUAAACUUUGUGCUUCCAGUUAUGCCGCCCCCUCCCCUAGCCUACACCCCCACCCUGCCAGCUUCUUGGCAGGAAGGUUAGGCCACUGGCAAAAUCCUCAGCGAGAGCCAGCUGAUCACAAAUGCCAACUGUGUGUCUUGGGGCCAGUUAAGUCCUCUCAUCUGCCCCAGCUCUCAGGAGACCAUUUCAUUGCUCUCAAGGUUCCCAGGAGACCGCUGCGGACACGGACCAUCCUCUACUUGGCCCGCAAGGAUGGGUUGCUGAGCGGAAUCCCAAAAGCGCUCUUUCUCACCUCGAAUUUUCAUUUUUAGAUUGUAAAAAAUCCGAAUUUGGAGACAGGCAGAUAUUUUUCACACAUCAAAAAGCAGGACCAUCAGCUAGGUGAUUAGCCCCAGGUGGGAAAUGAGCCAUCUCUAAUGAGAAUACUGACUUUUUGAAGAAGUCUGUGGAAGUUCUGAAGUCCUACCCCAGCCCCAUGACCUUUCGUUCGUUUAGUUCUUCUGCCACAGGGAAGCAGCCAGCGACUAAUGAAAGAUUUGAUCUUGCAAUAAUUUCCCAAGCAGGAAGAAAGUACUGUUAUCUCUUUUGGAAGAUAAAGAUACUAAGUCACAAAGAAGGUCAGAAACUUCUCAAGGCCACAUAGUUAUUAAGUGCCGAAGUCAAGAUUUGAAACCACACAGACUUGCUCCAGUUAAAUUCCUUAAGCACUUUAAUAUACUUCUUCUAAUGAACAUGGACAUUUUGGAUAAUAUGGAUAGCUUGACUUAUAUUUAGGAAUUUAUAAAGUAUGUAAAGAUACCCCAGUGUCAAUUUCCAGAUCUUAGCCAAAGCAAUGUUGAGCAAGAAGAGCAAAACUGGAGGCAUCACACUUCCUAAUUUCAAAACAUAUUGCAAAGCUUCAGUAAUCAAAAGAAUAUGAUACUGACAUAAAAACAGAUACAUAGACCAAUGGAACAGAAUUGAGAGCCCAGAAAUAAACCCCCACAUAUACUGUCAGCUCAUCUUUGGCAAGUGCACCAAGAAUACAAAGUGGGAGCAGAAUAGUCUCUUCAAUAAAUGAUGCUGGGAGAACUGGAUAUCCACGUGCAAAAGAGUGAAAUUGGACCCCUAUCUCACAUCAUACACCAAAUUCAACUCAAAAUAUAUUGAAAACUUAAAUGCAAGAUCUGAAACUGGAAAAAAACACAGGGUAAGACAACUUUGGCAUUGAUCUUAGCAAUGAAUUUUUUGGAUCUGACACCAAAAGCACAAACAGCAAAAGCAAAACUAAAAAAAUGAGACUGCACCAAACUAAAAAACUUCUGCACAACAAGGAAACAAUCAACAAAAUUAAAAGGCAACCUACAGAGUGGGAGAAAAUAUUUGCAAAUCAUCUAUCUGAUAAGAAGUUAAUAUCCAAAAUAUAUAAGAAAUUCUUCCAACUCAAUAGCAAAAAAACAAAUAGCCCAAUUUAAAAAAUGAGCAAAGGGCCUGAAUAGACAUUCCCUAAAGAGGACAUACAGAUGGCAAACAGGUAUAUGACAAAGUGCUCAACAUCACUAAUCAUCAGAGAAAUGCAAAUCAAAACCACAAUGACGUGUCUCUUCACAUCUGUUUGGAUGGCUAGCAUUAAAAAACAAAAAAUAACAAAUGUUAAGGAGGAUAUGGAGUAAAGGGAAUCCUGGUACACUGUUGGUAAGAAAAUAAAUUGGUAAGCAUUAUGGAAAACAACAUGGACGUUCUCCCCAAAAUUAAAAAUAGAACUACCAUAUGAUCCAGCAAUCCCACUUUAGGGUAUUUAUUCAAAGGAAUUGAAAUCAUGAUCUUGAAAAGAUACCUGCAAUCCCAUGUUCAUUGCAGCAUUAUUCACAAUAAGCAAGAUACAGAAACAAGCUAAAUGUCCAUUAACAGAUGAAUAGAUAAAGAAAUCUCAUAUAUACAAUGGAAUAUUAUUCAGACUUAAAAAAAGAAGGAAAUCCUGCUGUUUCUGACAACACGGACAGAACUGGAGGACGUUAUACCAAGUGAAAUAAGCCAGACACAGCAAGACAAAUACUGUGUGACCUCACUUAUAUGUGGAAUCUAAAGUAGUCAAACUCAUAGAAGC